UAGAGAUGAUACGCCGUCUCAUGGCGGUCACUUCCUGUCAGCGUUACAGAUCAGAAGCACAGAGAGUUGUUGACUAGAGAUGAUACGCCGUCUCAUGGUGGUCACUUCCUGUCGACGUUACAGAUCAGAAGCACAGAGAGUUGUUGACUAGAGAUGAUACGCCGUCUCAUGGUGGUCACUUCCUGUCAGCGUUACAGAUCAGAAGCACAGAGAGUUGUUGACUAGAGAUGAUACGCCGUCUCAUGGUGGUCACUUCCUGUCGACGUUACAGAUCAGAAGCACAGAGAGUUGUUGACUAGAGAUGAUACGCCGUCUCAUGGCGGUCACUUCCUGUCAGCGUUACAGAUCAGAAGCACAGAGAGUUGUUGACUAGAGAUGAUACGCCGUCUCAUGGUGGUCACUUCCUGUCAGCGUUACAGAUCAGAAGCACAGAGAGUUGUUGACUAGAGAUGAUACGCCGUCUCAUGGUGGUCACUUCCUGUCAGCGUUACAGAUCAGAAGCACAGAGAGUUGUUGACUAGAGAUGAUACGCCGUCUCAUGGCGGUCACUUCCUGUCAGCGUUACAGAUCAGAAGCACAGAGAGUUGUUGACUAGAGAUGAUACGCCGUCUCAUGGUGGUCACUUCCUGUCAGCGUUACAGAUCAGAAGCACAGAGAGUUGUUGACUAGAGAUGAUACGCCGUCUCAUGGUGGUCACUUCCUGUCAGCGUUACAGAUCAGAAGCACAGAGAGUUGUUGACUAGAGAUGAUACGCCGUCUCAUGGCGGUCACUUCCUGUCAGCGUUACAGAUCAGAAGCACAGAGAGUUGUUGACUAGAGAUGAUACGCCGUCUCAUGGUGGUCACUUCCUGUCAGCGUUACAGAUCAGAAGCGCAGAGAGUCGUUGACUAGAGAUGAUACGCCGUCUCAUGGCGGUCACUUCCUGUCAACGUUACAGAUCAGAAGCACAGAGAGUCGUUGACUAGAGAUGAUACGCCGUCUCAUGGUGGUCACUUCCUGUCAGCGUUACAGAUCAGAAGCACAGAGAGUCGCUGACUAGAGAUGAUACGCCGUCUCAUGGCGGUCACUUCCUGUCAACGUUACAGAUCAGAAGCACAGAGAGUCGUUGACUAGAGAUGAUACGCCGUCUCAUGGUGGUCACUUCCUGUCAACGUUACAGAUCAGAAGCACAGAGAGUCGUUGACUAGAGAUGAUACGCCGUCUCAUGGCGGUCACUUCCUGUCAGCGUUACAGAUCAGAAGCACAGAGAGUCGUUGACUAGAGAUGAUACGCCGUCUCAUGGUGGUCACUUCCUGUCAGCGUUACAGAUCAGAAGCACAGAGAGUUGUUGACUAGAGAUGAUACGCCGUCUCA